AAAGAGCUGUGUUGAAGCACCGUUUGCGCAGAUUUUCUGGGAAACCUGAAAAGAGAAAUAGCAGGGGUGUAUACUUUCAUGUAAUAAAGAUUAUUCUGGAUUGAUGAAAACCCAUCUGACUGGCAACACAAUUGCAGAAGACAUGCCCCUUUCCCUCAUCCAAUCAGCACAGACUGAGGCACGAGCACAUCAUUUGUUGAAUAGCUUCUGUUGUUGUUACUUGCUGUGAGUUGGCUAUUUCAUUUCCAUUUAGAAUGAGUGUUCAUGUUGUACAGAAUGUAUAUCUUUAAGAAGUACAGCACUGUUUUUUCUUACAGUUGACCAGUGUAUGCUUGUGACGGAAAGAUGAGUUCUGGUGAUGAAUCUUCCUCCCGACCUGUGAGGGCGCUAAAGAACG